rnacentral:rRNA from 1 species
UACGUAGGGGGCAAGCGUUGUCCGGAUUUAUUGGGCGUAAAGAGCGUGUAGGCGGCUUUACAGGUCCGUUGUGAAAACUCGAGGCUCAACCUCGAGACGCCGGUGGAAACCGUAAAGCUAGAGUCCGGAAGAGGAGAGUGGAAUUCCUGGUGUAGCGGUGAAAUGCGCAGAUAUCAGGAGGAACACCAGAGGCGAAGGCGGCUACCUGGACAAUUGCUGACGCUCAGGCACGAAAGCGUGGGGAGCAAAAGGG